UACGUAGGGGGCAAGCGUUAUCCGGAUUUACUGGGUGUAAAGGGGGCGCAGACGGCGAUGCAAGCCAGGAGUGAAAGCCCGGGACCCAACCCCGGGACUGCUCUUGGAACUGCGUGGCUGGAGUGCAGGAGGGGCAGGCGGAAUUCCUGGUGUAGCGGUGAAAUGCGUAGAUAUCAGGAGGAACACCGGUGGCGAAGGCGGCCUGCUGGACUGCAACUGACGUUGAGGCCCGAAAGCGUGGGGAGCAAACAGG
rnacentral:rRNA from 1 species